UCCCUGCUCAGGUUUCCUAUUCCCUGUGUAUGUGAACAGAAUGGAGUUCAAGUCUUUUUAUUAACUGCUUUCCACAAGGCCACUGAGCUUCAGAUUCCCAAUCACCCCUUUUAGCAGUGGCAUUCAACCCAAGCCCACCAUUCACCUCAUCUGUGAGGGGGUCCUGAACCCAACUUUCUCCUUUGUUUGCUGAGGUGGUUAAGCUCAUGUCUCUCCUUCACCCUUUAUGUCAGUAGUAAUAUUGAGCUCAUGUUUCCCAUUCCUCCCAGUAUACCACUGGUAUUGAACCCAAGUCUCCUAUUCACUUGAUAUACCAGGGUCUUCAAGUCUGUCAUUCAUGCCCUGUCCCAUUGUUAUUGACCCCAAUUGCCCAAUACACCAGGGUCUUCAUGCUUAGGUCUCCUCCUCACCAGGGUCACUGUGCUUGCUCAAGUUUCCCAUUCCUCCCAGUAUACCACUGGUUUUGAACCCAAGUGUCCUGUUCUCCUGCUAUCUCAGGGUCUUCAAGUCUGUCAUUCAUGCCCUGUACUAUUCUUAUGGACCCCAAGACCCCCAAUUGGGUCUUCAUGCUUAGGCCUCCUCCUCCCCAAGGUUACUGUGUCAAGUUUCCCAUUCCUCCCAGUAUACCACUGGUUUUGAACCCAAGUGUCCUGUUCUCCUGCUAUCUCAGAGUCUUCAAGUCUGUCAUUCAUGCCCUUUACUAUUAUUAUGGACCCCAAGAACCCCAAUUGGGUCUUCAUGCUUAGGCCUCCUCCUCCCCAGGGUCACUGUGCUUGCUCAAGUUUCCCAUUCCUCCCAGUAUAUCACUGGUUUUGAACCCAAGC